rnacentral:tRNA from 1 species
UCCGGCGUGGUCUAGUGGCUAGGAUACCUUGCUCUCACCCAGGAGGCCCGGGUUCAAUUCCCGGCGUCGCAA